CUAUAGCUCAGCUGGGAGAGCGCCUGCCUUGCACGCAGGAGGUCAGCGGUUCGAUCCCGCUUAGCUCCACCA
rnacentral:tRNA from 1 species